rnacentral:rRNA from 1 species
UACGUAGGGUGCAAGCGUUAAUCGGAAUUACUGGGCGUAAAGCGUGCGCAGGCGAUUGUGCAAGACAGAUGUGAAAUCCCCGGGCUCAACCUGGGAACUGCAUUUGUGACUGCACAGCUUGAGUUCGGCAGAGGGGGAUGGAAUUCCGCGUGUAGCAGUGAAAUGCGUAGAUAUGCGGAGGAACACCGAUGGCGAAGGCGAUCCCCUGGGCCUGCACUGACGCUCAUGCGCGAAAGCGUGGGGAGCAAACAGG